GUGAGGAAUAUUGGUCAAUGGACGAGAGUCUGAACCAGCCAAGUCGCGUGAAGGAAGACGGUUCUAUGAAUUGUAAACUUCUUUUGUGCAGGAAUAAAGUGGGUUACGUGUAACCUUUUGUAUGUACUGUACGAAUAAGGAUCGGCUAACUCCGUGCCAGCAGCCGCGGUAAUACGGAGGAUCCGAGCGUUAUCCGGAUUUAUUGGGUUUAAAGGGUGCGUAGGUGGAUUGGUAAGUCAGCGGUGAAAGUUUGCAGCUUAACUGUAGAAUUGUCGUUGAAACUGUCGGUCUUGAGUGCAAAUGAGGUAGGCGGAAUGUGUUGUGUAGCGGUGAAAUGCUUAGAUAUAACACAGAACUCCGAUUGCGAAGGCAGCUUACUGGGAUGCAACUGACACUGAUGCACGAAAGCGUGGGUAUCAAACAGGAUUAGAUACCCUAGUAGUCC
rnacentral:rRNA from 1 species